GUUAAGAGAAACAAAAUGGCUUUUUUGUAUUUAGGUAUACAUAUAGUUAAGUCAGGGUAUAAUUGAUAUUACUAUCAAUUUCGAAUUAUGUUUAUUUGAGAGACUUUAUAUGUAACCUUUUGAUCCUAUCGAUUACUAUAAUAAAAACAGUUAUUCUUUUGGCUAUUACCUACCCAAAAUGAGAAAGGAGGUUCUAAAUUUAAACAUGUGAAGUUUUUGUUUCUUUUUUUUUGGAGCAAAAUGUAUCUGUUUGGAUAUUUAAAAACUUAUCACCAUAUCAGCCAUUAACUGUUCACUGUUGAACAUAGAUUUCCAUUAUAUAGGGGGUUUUACCGGCAGUCAACACGCUUGGCAACCGCAGUAAAGCUUUUAGUGAUAUUUUAAUAGGGACGCUGCUGCCCAUCCCUCGACUAUUAAGUUCCUUUUGUCGCCUCUUAUGACAACCAUGGAAAGAAAGGGGUGGUCCAUCCUAUGCCGGAACAACACGACAAAUUGGAUAUUUAGAUAUUAUAUAACUUUUUUGUUUUCUUUUCAUUAUCUGUAUGUUUAUAAGAGAUGGCUGUUUGCUUUAAAAUUGCUCCGAUUAUAACGGAUUUUGUUUAAAAAAAAAAACCUCAAUCUUGGUAAAACCAGUUCUUGAUUGAUUGAUUUCAAAACUGUGAAAGUAGUGUUUAUCCUUACUAUUAUUAUAAAUGUGAAAGUUUGUUUUUACUUUGUGACGUCAUAACUUCUUAACUAAUCACUAUAAAAGUUGGUAUAAAGGUAUAUAUAUAUGAGAUGGAGAGGGACAUGUUACUUUUUAACCUAGUAGGGAUUUCGAGAAUGAUGCCAAAAAAUCAACUCGAUUGGGAUACAUAACUACCAUAUAUUGUCGCAAUUUGGGCGACACUAGGCUCCAAGCAGUCGUCUAUUAAUGUUUAAACGUGAAAUACGUGUCGCAAAAAGUGCGUAGAUGAAAUGGCAGUCAGAGUUGAUGGCUGCUAAUAUAGAAGGUCGUAGAACUUCUUCGAGUGUUGGCAGUGGCACACAUACAUUAGUACCAUUAGGCAGAGGAAUUAAACAAAAUAAUUGUAAUCAAAUAACCAAUAAUAUGGAAUUCCGCAAAAUUACAAUUUUUAUAAAGAUUGUAGUCGAUUUUUUCUCGUUAAAACAUAUAUGGAAUAUAUACUAUACUAGUAUAUUAUACUUGUACUUACCGUGAUGAUCAUGCAAUGAUUCUCCUUGACGGCACCGCAGCACCCGAAGAAGGCAACCACAAAGACAAUGAUGCCCACUAUUAUCAUCACAACAGGCGCCGAGGUGUAAAAGUUCUCAUCUGUCAGGUCGAUGUACGGUGAGGAAUU